GUUUGAUCCUGUGCUCAGGAUGAACGCUAGCGGCAGGCCUAAUACAUGCACGUCGAGGGGGAUUGGGGAGCUUGCUCCCCAUGAGACCGGCGCACGGGUGCGUAACGCGUAUGCAACCUACCUCUGUCAGGGGGAUAGCCCCCGGAAACGGGGAUUAACACCGCAUAACACCGCAGCACAGCAUUGUGCAGCGGUCAAAUAUUCAUAGGACAGAGAUGGGCAUGCGUGCCAUUAGCUUGUUGGUAGGGUAACGGCCUACCAAGGCGACGAUGGCUAGGGGUUCUGAGAGGAUGGUCCCCCACACUGGAACUGAGACACGGUCCAGACUCCUACGGGAGGCAGCAGUGAGGAAUAUUGGUCAAUGGACGGAAGUCUGAACCAGCCAUGCCGCGUGCAGGAAUAAGGUCCUAUGGAUUGUAAACUGCUUUUAUUUGGGAAUAAACCUCCUUACGUGUAGGGAGCUGAAGGUACCAAAGGAAUAAGCACCGGCUAACUCCGUGCCAGCAGCCGCGGUAAUACGGAGGGUGCAAGCGUUAUCCGGAAUCAUUGGGUUUAAAGGGUCCGCAGGCGGGCUGAUAAGUCAGAGGUGAAAUCCCACAGCUUAACUGUGGAACUGCCUUUGAAACUGUUAGUCUUGAAUUAAGAUGGCGUUGGCGGAAUAGGUCAUGUAGCGGUGAAAUGCAUAGAUAUGUCUUAGAACUCCGAUUGCGAAGGGCAGCUCACUAAGCUGGUAUUGACGCUGAUGCACGAAAGCGUGAGGAUCGAACAGGAUUAGAUACCCUGGUAGUCCACGCCCUAAACGAUGAUAACUCGAUGUUGGCGAUAGACAGCCAGCGUCCAAGCGAAAGCGUUAAGUUAUCCACCUGGGGAGUACGCCCGCAAGGGUGAAACUCAAAGGAAUUGACGGGGGCCCGCACAAGCGGCGGAGCAUGCGGAUUAAUUCGAUGCAACGCGAAGAACCUUACCAAGGCUUGACAUGAACUGGAAACACCUGGAAACAGGUGCCCCGCUUGCGGUCGGUUUACAGGUGGUGCAUGGUUGUCGUCAGCUCGUGUCGUGAGAUGUUGGGUUAAGUCCCGCAACGAGCGCAACCCUCGUUCUAUGUUGCCAGCACGUUAUGGUGGGGACUCAUAGGAGACUGCCGGGGUCAACUCGGAGGAAGGUGAGGACGACGUCAAAUCAUCAUGCCCCUUACGCCUAGGGCGACACACGUGCUACAAUGGCAUGAACAGAGUGCAGCGAGCUAGCAAUAGUAAGCGAAUCACAAAAAUCAUGUCACAGUUCGGAUUGGGGUCUGCAACUCGACCCUAUGAAGCUGGAAUCGCUAGUAAUCGCAUAUCAGCCAUGAUGCGGUGAAUACGUUCCCGGACCUUGUACACACCGCCCGUCAAGCCAUGGGAGUUGGGUAGACCUGAAGCGGAAGGUUAAAGACUUCGUUAGGGUAGAACCAGCGACUGGGGCUAAGUCGUAACAAGGUAACCGUA
rnacentral:rRNA from 1 species